CGUGUAAACAUUAAAUAUGGAUUAAAAUUGACUUCUAGCUUGAUCCUUCUCUUCAGUUUAAUUGUGACAAAUCUGUCCAUUGUUUAGUUAUUAAUUAAUUUAACACCAAUUAUGGAUGCUGCCAGGAUUAAGAUGAAGCUGAUUAUAGUGCUAAAAUAAGAGUGAAAACGUUAAUUAUGCUUGGUUUUAUCCAUCAACCUGUUAACUGGAUCCUGUCACUAACCCAUUCAGCGGCAACAACAGUCCGCAUUAUUAAUUUCUUGGUUUUCUCCCUAACAAUUGGAAACAAAAUUAAAUCAAUCUGGUUAUUAUACAACAUUUAAACAGCUCUUCAUCAUAAUCAUCUUCAUCUUAAUUGGUUGUUAGUUAAAUAUUAAAAGGCCUUCCGGUUGGUUAAAUGAUGAUGAUCCUUAUCAAUGAAUAGGAACUUUUCAUGUUUACCAUAACUUGGAGGAAGAAAGUUGAACUGGAAAGAGAAGGAAAACAAAAACAAAACGAGUUCAAUAAUGAAGAUGAUAAUCAUAAUUUUAUUUAAAAUAAUGGAAAAGAAACAAAAUGUUGCUUAUAAAGAUGGAUAACAACUUGUUGAUAAAAUAAAUAAAGAUGGAGAUGAGCUUCCUCAUGAGAAUAUCAAUUUUGAUGAAAAGGUGAUAUUGGAAGCUGCUGAGUGAAAUUGAACUUAAUUUUAAUAACAUUUUGCAAAACUUCAUUAUUUAGUCCAAAAUCAAUAUCAAACAUUUGCCCUCGCGAUCUACUUUAAGUUCACCUGAAUUUUUGAUUAGCUGAUUGUUAAAUUUGUUAUGCUGGCUAUAAAAAAAUUUUCUCACAAUUUUCAUUUUGCUGCUUCAUCAUGUGCUUGGGAAAUCGUUAUUUUCACUUAAUUUCUUUUAUCUCACCUGAACGUGCUGACGGAAAAAGCAAACAAAAUGAAACUCUAAAUUAUCAAGAUUAUAUUUCAUGAUACUGAGCAAACAAAGGCAGAAACAAAAUGAAGUUAAAAAUCAUUUUAUAAGGACAAUUAAGGCUUUAAAAAUGGUUAGAGACACCAACAAUGAAUCAAUGCAUAUCAACCUGAUUUAGUGUUUCAAGUUUAACAAUGAUUUACUUCAAUCAAACUUGUUGAUUCAAUUCUCCUUUAUCGCCAUAUAAGUGACCAUCAUAAAAGUUGAACUCUGUCAGAGGUUCGAUUGUAUGCUAAAACUGUACACUCACACACAAUCAUCAUUUAUAAAUGACCAGCAAAAAGAAAUGAAGGAAUCAAAUCGUUAACCAACAUUUUCCAUCACAAUUACCACCUUAACUCUUAAUCUUGAUGGAUAUCCAUUAUUGGUGUUUCUUUAAUCAGUUAAAUCCACACAUAAAUUUCAACCUUUAAUUUGAUUUAACUUUGGAUGGCUUAUUGUUUCUGUCUGAAAUACUUGUUUACCUUUCAUCCAAAAACUUGGUUAAAACAGAAGAGUCAAAAUGUAUUUACAAUUUUACUCUCUCUCUCUCUCAUUGACAAUACCAAUCGUUUGGUGAUUGAUGAUGAAUUGUUAAUCAACAUUGUAACAUUAUGGUAAUUUGAUUGGCUAAGCUAAAUAAGGUUCAAUAUAGCCGUCUGUUUAUUUAGCCUUGCGAUGCCAUCAGUUCUGGAACGUCUUACAACGAAUAGGAACCCAGAUGUUAAUCGAUAAAAUAUCUUUUCAUGACUGACUGAAUUAUGGAUGGCCUGGAAUCGAUGAAAAAGGUUAACCUGGAAGUCUAAGGUGUUGGUCGAGUAAACAAGAACAAUUUAUGAAUGGAAAACUAAACGACUCCACCGAUUACAUUGAUUUCCCAUAACAGUUCAUUGAAUUGCUGACUUGAGAGAAUCACGAAUCAUGUUCACCAUUAAAACGCAAACAGUUGGUUGGAUUGGUUGGAUUCCAGUCAGGAAACUCAAUAAAUUGCUGAAUCGUUUUGUGGACUGAAACCUAAUGAUGAGUCUCGUUCUGUUGAACAAUUAUCCUCUGAACUUGAAUCAAGCCCAAACUAAAUGAAAGGAAAAUGGUUUUUCAAAUGAAAGUUGAUAUGAAAAUUGGUUCACUCAAUUGACUGUAAUCAUGAUAAUUUGUAUAGAAAUAUUAAUUAGUAUUUUUAACCUAAUUUUUUCAUUUCAA